rnacentral:rRNA from 1 species
AUUGAACGCUGGCGGCAUGCCUUACACAUGCAAGUCGAACGGCAGCACGGGUGCUUGCACCUGGUGGCGAGUGGCGAACGGGUGAGUAAUACAUCGGAAAGUACCUUAUCGUGGGGGAUAACGCAGCGAAAGCUGUGCUAAUACCGCAUACGCCCUGAGGGGGAAAGCGGGGGAUCGCAAGACCUCGCGCGAUUAGAGCGGCCGAUGCCGGAUUACCUAGUUGGGGGGGUAAAAGCCCACCAAGGCGACGAUCAGUAGCUCGUCUAAGAGGACGAUCAGGCACAGUGGGACUGAGACACGGACCAGACUUCUACGGGAGGCCGCACUGGGGAAUUUUGGAAAAUGGGGGCAACCCUGACCGAGCAAUGCCGCGUGAGUGAAGAAGGCCUUCGGGUUGUAAGCUCUUUUGUCAGGGAAGAAACACCGGCUCUAACGAAGUCCGGGAAUGACGGUACCUGAAGAAUAAGCACCGGCUAACUACGUGCCAGCCGCCGCCGUAA